AUGAGAAACGCUGGCCAAUAUAUUUUCAAAGCAUUGAUCUAUUUAUCUUGGAGCAGGAGGGCCAAGGCCCAAGAAAACAAGAAACUAAUCGAAAACAAAAUGGGGAAUAGGAACCCCCACAAUAUCACUAGACAUUAUACUAAUAAGCUCGAUGGACGUGACAAUCUUCAUAAACAUGGAGACCUAAACCGUGAAGUAAACUUUUGUUGGCCAGAGCAUCAGCACAUUGGUUGGCUUCGCAAUGCACAUAGGAGACGAGAACCUCCCUCCCCUCCAAAAAACAAUGUUGAAUCUGCUUAUACAAACCAUUGCCUUCUUUGGGAGCUUCUUGUUUUGUUAUCUGUUUGA